rnacentral:rRNA from 1 species
CCUUAUACAUGCAAGUCGAGCGGUAAGGCCUUCGGGGUACACGAGCGCGAACGGGUGAGUAACACGUGGGUGAUCUGCUCGCACUUCGGGAUAAGCCUGGGAAACUGGGUCUAAUACCGGAUAUGACACGGAUCGCAUGGUUUGUGGUGGAAAGGUUUACUGGUGCGAGAUGGGCCCGCGGCCUAUCAGCUUGUUGGUGGGGUAAUGGCCUACCAAGGCGACGACGGGUAGCCGGCCUGAGAGGGCGACCGGCCACACUGGGACUGAGACACGGCCCAGACUCCUACGGGAGGCAGCAGUGGGGAAUAUUGCACAAUGGGCGAAAGCCUGAUGCAGCGACGCCGCGUGAGGGAUGACGGCCUUCGGGUUGUAAACCUCUUUCGACAGGGACGAAGCGAAGUGACGGUACCUGUAGAAGAAGCACCGGCCAACUACGUGCCAGCAGCCGCGGUAAUACGUAGGGUGCGAGCGUUGUCCGGAAUUACUGGGCGUAAAGAGCUUGUAGGCGGUUUGUCGCGUCGUCUGUGAAAUUCACAGCUCAACUGUGAGCUUGCAGGCGAUACGGGCAGACUUGAGUACUGCAGGGGAGACUGGAAUUCCUGGUGUAGCGGAGAAAUGCGCAAAUUUCAGGAGGAACACCGGGUGGCGAAGGCGGUUCUCUGGGCAGUAACUGACGCUGAAAAAGCGAAAGCGUGGGUAGCGAACAGGGAUUAAAUACCCCUGGGUAGUCCCACGCCGUAAACGGUGGGUGCUUAGGUGUGGGUUUCCUUCCCACGGGAUCCGUGGGCCGUAGCUAACCGCAUUAAGCGCCCCCGCCGUGGGGAGUACCGGCCGUAAGGCUAAACCUCAAAGGAAUUUGACGGGGGGCCCGACAAAGCGGGGGAACAUGUGGUUUAUUUGAUGCACCUCGAAGAACCUUAUCUGGGUUUUUAAUUAAACCAAACCGCCUUAGAAGAACCGGUUCCCCUGUGGGGCUUGUGGCACGGGG